AGAGUUUGAUCCUGGCUCAGGACGAACGCUGGCGGCGUGCCUAACACAUGCAAGUUGAGCGGAGGUAGAUGGAGCUUGCUCUAUGUACCUUAGCAGCGAACGGGUGAGUAACACGUAGAUAAUCUGUCCUAUAUUGGGGGAUAGCCCGAUGAAAGUUGGAUUAAUACCGCAUACAGCUAUAUAGUUGCAUGAUUAUAUAGUGAAAGAUUUAUUGAUAUAGGAGGAGUCUGCGGCACAUUAGCUAGUAGGUGAGGUAAGAGCUUACCUAGGCGACGAUGUGUAGCCGGUCUGAGAGGAUGAACGGCCACAAUGGAACUGAGACACGGUCCAUACUCCUACGGGAGGCAGCAGUGGGGAAUAUUGCACAAUGGGGGAAACCCUGAUGCAGCAACGCCGCGUGAGUGAAGAAGGUUUUCGGAUUGUAAAGCUCUGUUAGCAGGGAAGAGGAAGGACGGUACCUGCAGAGGAAGCCACGGCUAACUACGUGCCAGCAGCCGCGGUAAUACGUAGGUGGCAAGCGUUGUUCGGAAUAACUGGGCGUAAAGGAUGCGUAGGCGGUUAAAUAAGUUAUAUGUUAAAUAUAUAGGCUUAACCUGUAGAAAGCAUAUAAAACUGUUUAACUAGAGUGCAGGAGAGGUAAGUGGAAUUCCUAGUGUAGCGGUGAAAUGCGUAGAGAUUAGGAAGAACACCAGUGGCGAAGGCGACUUACUGGACUGUAACUGACGCUGAGGCAUGAGAGCAUGGGGAGCAAACAGGAUUAGAUACCCUGGUAGUCCAUGCUGUAAACGAUGGGUACUAGGUGUGGGUUGUGAAUAACAAUCCGUGCCGUCGCAAACGCAAUAAGUACCCCGCCUGAGGAGUACGAUCGCAAGAUUAAAACUCAAAGGAAUUGACGGGGACCCGCACAAGCAGCGGAGCAUGUGGUUUAAUUCGAAGCAACGCGAAGAACCUUACCUAAACUUGACAUACCUUGAAUUACCUUGUAAUGAGGGAAGCUCGCAAGAGCAAGGAUACAGGUGGUGCAUGGUUGUCGUCAGCUCGUGUCGUGAGAUGUUGGGUUAAGUCCCGCAACGAGCGCAACCCUUGUUGUUAAUUGCUAACAGGUUAAGCUGAGCACUUUAGCGAGACAGCCUAGGUUAACUAGGAGGAAGGUGGGGAUGACGUCAAAUCAUCAUGCCCCUUACGUUUAGGGCUACACACGUGCUACAAUGGUGAGAACAAAGAGAAGCAAGCUAGCGAUAGUGAGCAAAACUUAUAAAACUCAUCUCAGUUCGGAUUGCAGGCUGAAACUCGCCUGUAUGAAGAUGGAGUUGCUAGUAAUCGCGAAUCAGAAUGUCGCGGUGAAUACGUUCCCGGGUCUUGUACACACCGCCCGUCACACCAUGAGAGUUGGCAACACCCGAAACCUGUGGGCUAACCGAAAGGAGGCAGCAGUCUAAGGUGGGGUCAGUGAUUGGGGUGAAGUCGUAACAAGGUAGCCGUAGGAGAACCUGCGGCUGGAUCACCU
rnacentral:rRNA from 1 species